rnacentral:rRNA from 1 species
UACGGGGGGGGCAAGCGUUGUUCGGAUUUACUGGGCGUAAAGGGCGCGUAGGCGGCCAGUGCAAGUCAGUUGUGAAAUCUCCGAGCUUAACUCGGAAAGGUCAACUGAUACUGCUCGGCUAGAGUGCGGAAGGGGCAACUGGAAUUCUUGGUGUAGCGGUGAAAUGCGUAGAUAUCAAGAGGAACACCUGCGGCGAAGGCGGGUUGCUGGGCCGACACUGACGCUGAAGUGCGAAAGCUAGGGGAGCGAACGGG